rnacentral:lncRNA from 1 species
CAGCCGCUAGCUCGACCUCGAGAGAGCUGAUCUUGGAAGCCUGAGCCCAAGAUCGAUCACUGGCACGCUUUCGGAGUUCCUCGAGCUCCAUCAUGAAGUCGGCCUUCUUCCGGGUGAAUUCCAUGAGCCCCUUUUUGUGGAGGUCCUGAAGGCGAAUAGCCUCCGCAGUAACUUUCGAGUGGCUCUUCCUCAGCUGGUGGAGUUCGUCUUCCAGCUUCUUAGAUUUUCCUGUUAAUCGACGAACUUUCCUUUGGAGGUCUCAUAUCAUCGACUUCAUGGGAAUACCCUCUGGCAGGGGAAGAGCUUUGGCAGGACACCGUCACUGGAAGACAAGAGCGCCAUGACUUAAAUCAAUGCAAGAAGACAAAAAGAAGGAAAAG